rnacentral:tRNA from 2 species
GCCCAGAUAGCUCAGUUGGUAGAGCAACGGAUUGAAAAUCCGUGUGUCGCUGGUUCGAUUCCGGCUCUGGGCACCA